CUCCCACAAAGAUACUUCUACAUUUUCUGGAUGUGCUGUUUUGCUACAAGCAUGGGGAUGGUCAAGACUACCGUCUCUAGCACCGGUCAAUAACAACCCCUUCACUUUUCCAUAUGCAAAAAAAUGGUCGGCACGCGGUAUGAAUUACAAAAGAUGUCCGAGACACUGUAUUACUCAAUAUCGCAACCUGUUGGAUCACCUUCGACCGGCAGACUUCAUUUGGCGUCCAUACCUUAAUAUGGAUCAUGAGCAUCAGAUCAACCCUGAAGACGCAGCCGUAUGGACAACAUGCACACCGAUAAUACGGUUCACAACAGUGGAGCUGCACAACACCGAU